GGGCGUAAAGCGUGCGCAGGCGGAUUGUUAAGCAAGAUGUGAAAUCCCCGGGCUUAACCUGGGAAUGGCAUUUUGAACUGGCAGUCUAGAGUGCGUCAGAGGGGGGUGGAAUUCCACGUGUAGCAGUGAAAUGCGUAGAGAUGUGGAGGAACACCAAUGGCGAAGGCAGCCCCCUGGGAUGACACUGACGCUCAUGUACGAAAGCGUGGGUAGCAAACAGGAUUAGAUACCCUGGUAGUCCACGCCCUAAACGAUGUCAACUGGUUGUUGGGGGAGUGAAAUCCCUUAGUAACGAAGCUAACGCGUGAAGUUGACCGCCUGGGGAGUACGGUCGCAAGAUUAAAACUCAAAGGAAUUGACGGGGACCCGCACAAGCGGUGGAUGAUGUGGAUUAAUUCGAUGCAACGCGAAAAACCUUACCUACCCUUGACAUGUCCGGAAUCCUGCAGAGAUGCGGGAGUGCUCGAAAGAGAACCGGAACACGGGUGCUGCAUGGCUGUCGUCAGCUCGUGUCGUGAGAUGUUGGGUUAAGUCCCGCAACGAGCGCAACCCUUAUCAUUAGUUGCUACGCAAGGGCACUCUAAUGAGACUGCCGGUGACAAACCGGAGGAAGGUGGGGAUGACGUCAAGUC
rnacentral:rRNA from 1 species